UAGGGAAUCUUCGGCAAUGGGGGGAACCCUGACCGAGCAACGCCGCGUGAGUGAAGAAGGUUUUCGGAUCGUAAAGCUCUGUUGUUAAGGAAGAACGAGUGUGAGAAUGGAAAGUUCAUACUGUGACGGUACUUAACCAGAAAGGGACGGCUAACUACGUGCCAGCAGCCGCGGUAAUACGUAGGUCCCGAGCGUUGUCCGGAUUUAUUGGGCGUAAAGCGAGCGCAGGCGGUCAAUUAAGUCUGAUGUGAAAGCCCCCGGCUCAACCGGGGAGGGUCAUUGGAAACUGGUUGACUUGAGUGCAGAAGAGGAGAGUGGAAUUCCAUGUGUAACGGUGAAAUGCGUAGAUAUAUGGAGGAACACCAGUGGCGAAGGCGACUCUCUGGUCUGUAACUGACGCUGAGGCUCGAAAGCGUGGGUAGCAAACAGG
rnacentral:rRNA from 1 species